rnacentral:lncRNA from 1 species
ACUAAUUGCACAAUGCGUGUAGACCCUUUGAUAUUAUUCGUAUUGUCCUGAAGAGAUGUUACUACUGACGUCCCAAUGCAGGCUUUUUCGACCCACACUGCAAAAGGAAUGGAACAGAUAAGAAGGUAUUGAGAUUAGAACGUGCUGCCGUGCGGCCGCCGCAGGACACUUUUCAUAUCCCUGUUUCUCGGACUGUAGAUGAAGGGGUUCAUCAUGGGGGUGACCACUGCGUACAUCACUGAGGCCACUGCAGUCUUUCUCGGGGAAGAUGACACAUCUGAACUGAGG